rnacentral:tRNA from 1 species
GCCCGAUUCGUCUAGAGGCCUAGGACGCUGCCCUCUCACGGCGGUAACACGGGUUCGAAUCCCGUAUCGGGUA